AGAGAGAGACAUGCGCGCAUAUCAAUAAGCGGAGGAAAAAGAAACUAACAAGGAUUCCCUUAGUAACGCGCGAGUGAAGCGGGAAGAGCUCAAAUUUGAAAUCUUCAAGGUUCUACCUUGACGAAUUGUAGUUUAUAGAAGUAUUUUCUGUUAGUGGAGUGGCAAAAGUUCUUUGGAAUAGGACAUCAUAGAGGGUGAGAAUCCCGUAUUUGGUCAUUCCUCCUAGCGUUGUGAUACACUUUCGACGAGUCGGAUUGUUUGGGAAUGCAGUCCAAAAUGGGUGGUAAAUUUCAUCUAAAGCUAAAUAUUGGCGAGAGACCGAUAGCGAACAAGUACCGUGAGGGAAAGAUGAAAAGAACUUUGAAAAGAGAGUUAAACAGUACGUGAAAUUGUCAAAAGGGAAGCGUUUGACACCAGUGUUGUUUUUCCGAAAAUCAAUUACGAAUGUUUUGUUUUUGAGGAGUCAUGACUUCAUCGGCUUGCUCCUUUCUUUACGAAACUUUCUUAAUGCACUUUUCCGGUUAACAAGUCAACAUCAAUUUCUUUUGUUGUAAAAGGGUAUGAGGAAGGUGGCUUUCCUUUUCGGAGAAAGUGUUUAUAGCCUUGUGCCUCUGCAAUCGGAGAGAUUGAGGUCUGCAGCGUAGAUCCUUCGGGGUUAGAUACGUUUGUGCUAAGUUAUAGCUUUUCAUAGACAACUAGUUGACUAUGUUUAGUCUUGUAGCUUACUCGCUGACGCUAUUUUACCUACGCUUAGGAUGUUGAUAGUCACAGCGUGUAC
rnacentral:rRNA from 1 species